GAUGAACGCUGGCGGCGUGCCUAAUACAUGCAAGUCGAGCGAACGGACGAGAAGCUUGCUUCUCUGAUGUUAGCGGCGGACGGGUGAGUAACACGUGGAUAACCUACCUAUAAGACUGGGAUAACUUCGGGAAACCGGAGCUAAUACCGGAUAAUAUUUUGAACCGCAUGGUUCAAAAGUGAAAGACGGUCUUGCUGUCACUUAUAGAUGGAUCCGCGCUGCAUUAGCUAGUUGGUAAGGUAACGGCUUACCAAGGCAACGAUGCAUAGCCGACCUGAGAGGGUGAUCGGCCACACUGGAACUGAGACACGGUCCAGACUCCCUACGGGAGGCAGCAGUAGGGAAUCUUCCGCAAUGGGCGAAAGCCUGACGGAGCAACGCCGCGUGAGUGAUGAAGGUCUUCGGAUCGUAAAACUCUGUUAUUAGGGAAGAACAUAUGUGUAAGUAACUGUGCACAUCUUGACGGUACCUAAUCAGAAAGCCACGGCUAACUACGUGCCAGCAGCCGCGGUAAUACGUAGGUGGCAAGCGUUAUCCGGAAUUAUUGGGCGUAAAGCGCGCGUAGGCGGGUUUUUAAGUCUGAUGUGAAAGCCCACGGCUCACCCGUGGAGGGUCAUUGGAAACUGGAAAACUUGAGUGCAGAAGAGGAAAGUGGAAUUCCAUGUGUAGCGGUGAAAUGCGCAGAGAUAUGGAGGAACACCAGUGGCGAAGGCGACUUUCUGGUCUGUAACUGACGCUGAUGUGCGAAAGCGUGGGGAUCAAACAGGAUUAGAUACCCUGGUAGUCCACGCCGUAAACGAUGAGUGCUAAGUGUUAGGGGGUUUCCGCCCCUUAGUGCUGCAGCUAACGCAUUAAGCACUCCGCCUGGGGAGUACGACCGCAAGGUUGAAACUCAAAGGAAUUGACGGGGACCCGCACAAGCGGUGGAGCAUGUGGUUUAAUUCGAAGCAACGCGAAGAACCUUACCAAAUCUUGACAUCCUUUGACAACUCUAGAGAUAGAGCCUUCCCCUUCGGGGGACAAAGUGACAGGUGGUGCAUGGUUGUCGUCAGCUCGUGUCGUGAGAUGUUGGGUUAAGUCCCGCAACGAGCGCAACCCUUAAGCUUAGUUGCCAUCAUUAAGUUGGGCACUCUAAGUUGACUGCCGGUGACAAACCGGAGGAAGGUGGGGAUGACGUCAAAUCAUCAUGCCCCUUAUGAUUUGGGCUACACACGUGCUACAAUGGACAAUACAAAGGGCAGCGAAACCGCGAGGUCAAGCAAAUCCCAUAAAGUUGUUCUCAGUUCGGAUUGUAGUCUGCAACUCGACUACAUGAAGCUGGAAUCGCUAGUAAUCGUAGAUCAGCAUGCUACGGUGAAUACGUUCCCGGGUCU
rnacentral:rRNA from 1 species